rnacentral:lncRNA from 1 species
UUGGUAAUCAAAUGGAAUUGUAAAGUUGUAAUCCUAUAGAAGUAUUUAGUUAGUUACUAAACUCUCUAUGGGAAAUAAAGAUAAGUGUUAUAAAUUAAGCAUUGAAAUGAUCAUCCACUUCUUUACCAAACUCAAGCACUAUGAUCAUCCACUUCUUUACCAAACUCAAGCACUAUAAUCAUCCACUUCUUUACCAAACUCAAGCACUAUGAUCAUCCACUCAUUUACCAACUCAAGCACUAUCUUUCAUAUUUUAUGUAUUGUUGCUCACUAUAAAUACCAUCACUCAUCUCACUCAUUUGUACACCAUAAACAAGAACAAGAGUUUAUAAUCAAAGAACCAUCACAUCUUCUUCUUCUUCCUUAUAA